AUGUACCACGCGUACACGCCUGUUCCGCGCGCCGUCCGCGCCCACCUGACGACCGCUCGCUCUGUGUUGUCUGCC
rnacentral:sRNA from 1 species